GCAGUCGAGCGAUGAAACCCCUUCGGGGGUGGAUUAGCGGCGGACGGGUGAGUAACACGUGGGUAACCUGCCUCAAAGUGGGGGAUAGCCUUCCGAAAGGAAGAUUAAUACCGCAUAAAGCCAAGUUUCACAUGGAAUUUGGAUGAAAGGAGUAAUUCGCUUUGAGAUGGACCCGCGGCGCAUUAGUUAGUUGGUGGGGUAAUGGCCUACCAAGACAGCGAUGCGUAGCCGACCUGAGAGGGUGAUCGGCCACAUUGGAACUGAGAUACGGUCCAGACUCCUACGGGAGGCAGCAGUGGGGAAUAUUGCACAAUGGGCGAAAGCCUGAUGCAGCAACGCCGCGUGAGUGAUGAAGGUCUUCGGAUUGUAAAGCUCUGUCUUUUGGGACGAUAAUGACGGUACCAAAGGAGGAAGCCACGGCUAACUACGUGCCAGCAGCCGCGGUAAUACGUAGGUGGCGAGCGUUGUCCGGAUUUACUGGGCGUAAAGGGUGCGUAGGCGGAUGUUUAAGUGAGAUGUGAAAUACCCGGGCUUAACUUGGGUGCUGCAUUUCAAACUGGAUAUCUAGAGUGCAGGAGAGGAGAAUGGAAUUCCUAGUGUAGCGGUGAAAUGCGUAGAGAUUAGGAAGAACACCAGUGGCGAAGGCGAUUCUCUGGACUGUAACUGACGCUGAGGCACGAAAGCGU
rnacentral:rRNA from 1 species